AUUCCUCAAUUAAAAGAUCCGGGGUAGACUCAAAAGUGUAUGGAACUAGCAGACACCCUUAGGAGUCUCUUCAGUCCUCUAGAUUUGGAGAUUCUCCAGAUGAGUGAGUGAUCUUAUCUCAAAUGGUGGGGAGCUGAAGUCCACACAGUGUUCAUUUCCAGAUCCUGAUUUACUGGGCUGAAGAGAGCAUCUGUGAUGGCCCAUGUGUCUGCCUCAGCCACCUGCCCCAAUCCUGCCCACUACCGUCCUGGAACACUGGCCUGUAGUGCCUGGGAAGGGUGUCAUUUGAUCUGGAAUCAGGCAAUUGCAAUGCCCACUGAGUGCAGAACACUUUUGAUUCGAAAAAUCUUACCUUGAUGGAGUCUUUCUAAAGCAUUCAAUUUAGUUUGCAUAGAAGGAACAAUUCUGGCUUGAGCCACCGCACCCGACCUGAGUAUAUCACAUAUGGGC
rnacentral:lncRNA from 10 species